AAAAAAUUUUUAUAGUUUUGGUAUUUUAUUUUAAAUAUAAUUUACAUACAAAUUUUAGUGUUAAAUUUUGUUUAUUUUAAUAAUAAAUAAAAUUAUAAAGUAGUAAUUAAUUUUAAAUAUUUAAGAAAUUAAGAUUUAGUAAUUUUGAAAUAAAUAACUAAUUUUGUGCCAGCAGUUGCGGUUAUACAAAAAUUUAAUUAAAAUUUUUCAGUAUAUAUUAAAUAAAAUUAUAAAAUAUAAAUUAAAAAUUAAAUUAUUAAGUGAAAUUUUAAUUUAAUAAAAAUUUAAAAAAAAUAUAUGAAUUAGUAAAUUUAUAUAAAAACUAGGAUUAGAUACCCUAUUAUUAAAAUAAAAUAAUUUAUACUAAAAUAGUAAAUAAUGAUUUAUUGAAACUUAAAUAAUUUGGCGGUAUUUUAGUUCAUUUAGAGGAAUCUGUCUAAUAAUUGAUAAUCCACGAUUAAAUUUACUUAAUUUAAAAUUUUAUAUAUCGUUGUUAAAAAAAUAUUUUAAAAUAAAAAUAAUAUUUAAAAAUUAUAAUUAAAAAUUAAUUCAGAUCAAGAUGUAGAUUAUAAUUAAGAUAUAAGAUGGAUUACAAUAAAUUUAUUUAAGUGAAUUUUUGUUUUUAAUAUAUAAAUGAAAUUGGAUUUAAAUGUAAUUUUAUUUAAUAUAAUAAAAUGAUUUAAAAUUGAAAUAUGUACAUAUUGCCCGUCGCUUUCAUUUUAAAAUUGGAAUAAGUCGUAACAAAGUAGAAGUACUGGAAAGUGUUUCUAGAA
rnacentral:ncRNA from 1 species